rnacentral:lncRNA from 1 species
CUUGCUCUUGUGGAUCAGAAGACACACAUAAAAAUAUUCAUGGUUGUGUUGCUUAUGAGAGCCCCAAUCUAGAAGCAACCCAAAUGUUCAAUGGCAGGAAACUUUGGCUGGGUAAUUUGUAGAGAAAAGAGUUUUAUUUUGGCUCAUGGUUCUGCAGGCUGUAUAGGAAGCAUCUGCUUCUGGUGAGGGCCUCAAGAAGCUUCUACUCAUGGUGGAAGGUGAAAGAGUAGCAGUUGUGUAAAGUGUGCAGGAGUUCUAAUUUCUCCGCAUCUCUGCCAACACUUGUUAUCUUUUGUAUUUUUGAUAAUAGCCAUUGUAACAGGUGUAAGGUGAUAUCUCAUUGAGGUUUGGAUUUACUUUCCCUGAUG